GCGGGUGUAGCUCAGUUGGUUAGAGCGCUGGCCUGUCACGCCAGAGGUCGCCGGUUCAAGUCCGGUCACUCGCGCCA
rnacentral:tRNA from 6 species